UACGAAGGGGGCUAGCGUUGCUCGGAAUUACUGGGCGUAAAGCGCACGUAGGCGGCUUGUUAAGUCAGGGGUGAAAUCCUGGAGCUCAACUCCAGAACUGCCUUUGAUACUGGCGAGCUUGAGUCCGGGAGAGGUGAGUGGAACUGCGAGUGUAGAGGUGAAAUUCGUAGAUAUUCGCAAGAACACCAGUGGCGAAGGCGGCUCACUGGCCCGAUACUGACGCUGAGGUGCGAAAGCGUGGGGAGCAAACAGG
rnacentral:rRNA from 1 species